rnacentral:tRNA from 1 species
CCUUCGAUAGCUCAGUUGGUAGAGCGGAGGACUGUAGAGGGACCUUACAUUGGUGAUCCUUAGGUCGCUGGUUCGAAUCCGGCUCGAAGGA